rnacentral:rRNA from 1 species
UACGGAGGAUCCGAGCGUUAUCCGGAUUUAUUGGGUUUAAAGGGUGCGCAGGCGGGAGAUUAAGUCGGCGGUGAAAUUUUGCAGCUCAACUGUAAAAGUGCCUUCGAAACUGGUUUCCUUGAGUGUGGAUGAAGUAGGCGGAAUUUGUGGUGUAGCCGUGAAAUGCAUAGAUAUCACGAGGAACUCCGAUUGCGCAGGCAGCUUACUAAACCAUAACUGACGCUCAGGCACGAAGGCGUGGGGAUCAAACAGGAUUAGAUACCCGUGUAGU